GAGAGUUCCAACAAUGAGGAGGGAACAAGGCUGCUCUCUCUCCUCCCCACUGCCAUGUGACCUGUGGGAUAUUUGUGUAUAGGCUUACUACAUCGAAGCUCAGUAGGAUUGAAUUUGUUUCACUGGUUUUGGGAAGAUGGGAUAAAAAGUCGAUGUCAUCCCGAAUGAAACUGGGUAUGUAUGUACAAAGUGGCUUCAAAAGAAUGUCGAUGAAAUUGCUUAGACGUUUCUGUCUUUCGAAUCCACUCACAAGGCUUUGGUCAUCUUGAGGCUAAAUGAGAGCACACUUGCCCAAAGAGCCAUGCAGUGGUAUUGGACCCAGCAUCAAGUGACUUCCUAAUAGACGUUGAAGAGCACUCAAAUACAUUAAGUAUUUAGCAGAGAUAACAUGAAAUUGAAGAUCUGCUGAAGUUAAUGAGAAACAGAUGUUCUGGGUGCGGCACUGUGAAAAGCAUCUUGAUUGUGAACACUUGGAGAAAAAGAGGAAAAAAUUAAAUAUUAAUCCUGAAGAUCCUGUAACACUUACAGGGAUUGGAAUUCAACAGAAGCACUCUGGAAUCAUGAACAGUUGAGAGACCAGGAACUCUGUGGUUCCGGUAAUAUAGUUUCAAAACCAUGGUUUCAAACAGUCAUCACAACUGUCUGAUGAUCAGUUGUUUGAAAUUCUGAGCAAGA